UUGCCAGUUUGAUAUUGGGUGCUAAGCAGAGUGGCUAAUGUAUAUGUUUUAUCAUACAUAUUUUGCUCUAGCCAGAAUGAAAAAAAUAAUAAUUUUCCUUUAUGACGUGGCUUGGCCCCCAGCAGGAUGGUGCAGCAAGCUGGGUCACUAGAGCCACUCAGGGAAAGGGAGCCCAGAGCCUGGCAUGCCGGCCAAAAGCUGUUUUCAUUUUCAACCUAAGAAAACAAAGAGAUGGAAGAAAAUAUGGUACUGUGUCUGGAUGCAGUGAGUAUGGCCAGAUCUGCAAGCCAGGGAAUGAAGUUUUAAAUUCUUCACAUCCUUAUAAGAAGCAUAAAUUUACAUAUUUCCUCCUCUACUGACCUCAGUAACUGCAGGAGACACUUGAAAUCUUGUCCAUUACCUUCUGUAUCUAUAUCAAAGCAAACAAUGACACUCCCACUGAUGGCUGUGUUUCAAAGAUCUUUGGAAAAAGUAACUGAAGAAAUGGGAUUUGGAGAUGUGGAUGUCAGACAGAAGUCAAAGAAGGAACCAGAAGGAGAGCUCCAAUGUAAUAGUGGUGGAAGUGAAGCAUCUUAAUACAGAAGAGAAGAAAAGUAUUAAUAAUCAAAUGAGCCACAAGAGAAAUUAUAGUCAUCCAACAACGAAGCCUCAGAGAAUGAGGGCCUGGAUCUGAAUUCUGGACUCUACCAUUCAGGCAGACUUAAACUAGAUUUUAAAUACUUCCUUUCCAUAAAGGAAAAAAGAUCUAAUCUACUGAUUCAUCAUUGUAUUUUCAGCUAAUAAACUGUUAAAUUAAUAUAUGUAAAA